rnacentral:rRNA from 1 species
AGCAGCCGCGGUAAUUCCAGCUCCAAUAGCGUAUAUUAAAGUUGUUGCAGUUAAAAAGCUCGUAGUUGAAUUUCGAGAUCAGUACGCUGGUCGUGCCUUCGGUAUGCACUGGUGUCACUGGUUUCUCCCUUCUGAAGAACCGUCAUGUCAUUCAGUUGGUGUGGCGGGGAAUCAGGACUGUUACUUUGAAAAAUUAGAGUGUUUAAAGCAGGCUCGCGCUUGAAUACAUUAGCAUGGAAUAAUGAAAUAGGACGUUUGACCCUAUUUUGUUGGUUUCUAGGAUCGACGUAAUGAUUAAUAGGGAUAGUUGGGGGCAUUAGUAUUCAAUUGUCAGAGGUGAAAUUCUUGGAUUUAUUGAAGACUAACUACUGCGAAAGCAUUUGCCAAGGAUGUUUUCAUUAAUCAAGAACGAAAGUUAGGGGAUCGAAGACGAUCAGAUACCGUCGUAGUCUUAACCAUAAACUAUGCCGACU